rnacentral:rRNA from 1 species
UACGUAGGGCGCAAGCGUUGUCCGGAAUUAUUGGACGUAAAGAGCUCGUAGGCGGUUUGUCGCGUCGUCUGUGAAAACCCACGGCUCAACUGUGGGCUUGCAGUCGAUACGGGCAGGCUAGAGUUCGGUAGGGGAGACUGGAAUUCCUGGUGUAGCGGUGAAAUGCGCAGAUAUCAGGAGGAACACCGGUGGCGAAGGCGGGUCUCUGGGCCGAUACUGACGCUGAGGAGCGAAAGCGUGGGGAGCGAACAGG